GGGUUGUGAGGUUAAGCGACUAAGCGUACACGGUGGAUGCCCUGGCAGUCAGAGGCGAUGAAGGACGUGCUAAUCUGCGAUAAGCGUCGGUAAGGUGAUAUGAACCGUUAUAACCGGCGAUUUCCGAAUGGGGAAACCCAGUGUGUUUCGACACACUAUCAUUAACUGAAUCCAUAGGUUAAUGAGGCGAACCGGGGGAACUGAAACAUCUAAGUACCCCGAGGAAAAGAAAUCAACCGAGAUUCCCCCAGUAGCGGCGAGCGAACGGGGAGCAGCCCAGAGCCUGAAUCAGUAUGUGUGUUAGUGGAAGCGUCUGGAAAGGCGCGCGAUACAGGGUGACAGCCCCGUACACAAAAAUGCACAUAUUGUGAGCUCGAUGAGUAGGGCGGGACACGUGGUAUCCUGUCUGAAUAUGGGGGGACCAUCCUCCAAGGCUAAAUACUCCUGACUGACCGAUAGUGAACCAGUACCGUGAGGGAAAGGCGAAAAGAACCCCGGCGAGGGGAGUGAAAAAGAACCUGAAACCGUGUACGUACAAGCAGUGGGAGCACGCUUAGGCGUGUGACUGCGUACCUUUUGUAUAAUGGGUCAGCGACUUAUAUUCUGUAGCAAGGUUAACCGAAUAGGGGAGCCGAAGGGAAACCGAGUCUUAACUGGGCGUUAAGUUGCAGGGUAUAGACCCGAAACCCGGUGAUCUAGCCAUGGGCAGGUUGAAGGUUGGGUAACACUAACUGGAGGACCGAACCGACUAAUGUUGAAAAAUUAGCGGAUGACUUGUGGCUGGGGGUGAAAGGCCAAUCAAACCGGGAGAUAGCUGGUUCUCCCCGAAAGCUAUUUAGGUAGCGCCUCGUGAAUUCAUCUCCGGGGGUAGAGCACUGUUUCGGCAAGGGGGUCAUCCCGACUUACCAACCCGAUGCAAACUGCGAAUACCGGAGAAUGUUAUCACGGGAGACACACGGCGGGUGCUAACGUCCGUCGUGAAGAGGGAAACAACCCAGACCGCCAGCUAAGGUCCCAAAGUCAUGGUUAAGUGGGAAACGAUGUGGGAAGGCCCAGACAGCCAGGAUGUUGGCUUAGAAGCAGCCAUCAUUUAAAGAAAGCGUAAUAGCUCACUGGUCGAGUCGGCCUGCGCGGAAGAUGUAACGGGGCUAAACCAUGCACCGAAGCUGCGGCAGCGACGCUGAUGCGUUGUUGGGUAGGGGAGCGUUCUGUAAGCCUGCGAAGGUGUGCUGUGAGGCAUGCUGGAGGUAUCAGAAGUGCGAAUGCUGACAUAAGUAACGAUAAAGCGGGUGAAAAGCCCGCUCGCCGGAAGACCAAGGGUUCCUGUCCAACGUUAAUCGGGGCAGGGUGAGUCGACCCCUAAGGCGAGGCCGAAAGGCGUAGUCGAUGGGAAACAGGUUAAUAUUCCUGUACUUGGUGUUACUGCGAAGGGGGGACGGAGAAGGCUAUGUUGGCCGGGCGACGGUUGUCCCGGUUUAAGCGUGUAGGCUGGUUUUCCAGGCAAAUCCGGAAAAUCAAGGCUGAGGCGUGAUGACGAGGCACUACGGUGCUGAAGCAACAAAUGCCCUGCUUCCAGGAAAAGCCUCUAAGCAUCAGGUAACAUCAAAUCGUACCCCAAACCGACACAGGUGGUCAGGUAGAGAAUACCAAGGCGCUUGAGAGAACUCGGGUGAAGGAACUAGGCAAAAUGGUGCCGUAACUUCGGGAGAAGGCACGCUGAUAUGUAGGUGAAGUCCCUCGCGGAUGGAGCUGAAAUCAGUCGAAGAUACCAGCUGGCUGCAACUGUUUAUUAAAAACACAGCACUGUGCAAACACGAAAGUGGACGUAUACGGUGUGACGCCUGCCCGGUGCCGGAAGGUUAAUUGAUGGGGUUAGCCGCAAGGCGAAGCUCUUGAUCGAAGCCCCGGUAAACGGCGGCCGUAACUAUAACGGUCCUAAGGUAGCGAAAUUCCUUGUCGGGUAAGUUCCGACCUGCACGAAUGGCGUAAUGAUGGCCAGGCUGUCUCCACCCGAGACUCAGUGAAAUUGAACUCGCUGUGAAGAUGCAGUGUACCCGCGGCAAGACGGAAAGACCCCGUGAACCUUUACUAUAGCUUGACACUGAACAUUGAGCCUUGAUGUGUAGGAUAGGUGGGAGGCUUAGAAGUGUGGACGCCAGUCUGCAUGGAGCCGACCUUGAAAUACCACCCUUUAAUGUUUGAUGUUCUAACGUUGACCCGUAAUCCGGGUUGCGGACAGUGUCUGGUGGGUAGUUUGACUGGGGCGGUCUCCUCCUAAAGAGUAACGGAGGAGCACGAAGGUUGGCUAAUCCUGGUCGGACAUCAGGAGGUUAGUGCAAUGGCAUAAGCCAGCUUGACUGCGAGCGUGACGGCGCGAGCAGGUGCGAAAGCAGGUCAUAGUGAUCCGGUGGUUCUGAAUGGAAGGGCCAUCGCUCAACGGAUAAAAGGUACUCCGGGGAUAACAGGCUGAUACCGCCCAAGAGUUCAUAUCGACGGCGGUGUUUGGCACCUCGAUGUCGGCUCAUCACAUCCUGGGGCUGAAGUAGGUCCCAAGGGUAUGGCUGUUCGCCAUUUAAAGUGGUACGCGAGCUGGGUUUAGAACGUCGUGAGACAGUUCGGUCCCUAUCUGCCGUGGGCGCUGGAGAACUGAGGGGGGCUGCUCCUAGUACGAGAGGACCGGAGUGGACGCAUCACUGGUGUUCGGGUUGUCAUGCCAAUGGCACUGCCCGGUAGCUAAAUGCGGAAGAGAUAAGUGCUGAAAGCAUCUAAGCACGAAACUUGCCCCGAGAUGAGUUCUCCCUGACUCCUUGAGAGUCCUGAAGGAACGUUGAAGACGACGACGUUGAUAGGCCGGGUGUGUAAGCGCAGCGAUGCGUUGAGCUAACCGGUACUAAUGAACCGUGAGGCUUAACCUUACAACGCCGAAGGUGUUU
rnacentral:rRNA from 1 species